UUUUGUGGGCGUGGGGUUGGUUUGUUUGUUUUACAGUUGGUAGUUUUUUUAAGCAUAUAGCAAUCGAUUUAUUUUUUUUGUGUGUAUUAGAUCGAAUUUGAAGUUGGUCUUUGUAAUCAUAUUAUUUUGUGCUUCUUCACGGACUAUUCCUACUUGAGAACUACUUCAGAAAGAGCACUCUUGCUACUGUUUUUGUUGUAAAAUAAUCGAAUUUGCAAUGAGCAUUGAAAACUUAUAA
rnacentral:lncRNA from 1 species